rnacentral:rRNA from 1 species
AUUGAACGCUGGCGGCAGGCUUAACACAUGCAAGUCGAGCGGAGAGAGGUAGCUUGCUACUGAUCUUAGCGGCGGACGGGUGAGUAAUGCUUAGGAAUCUGCCUAUUAGUGGGGGACAACAUUUCGAAAGGAAUGCUAAUACCGCAUACGUCCUACGGGAGAAAGCAGGGGAUCUUCGGACCUUGCUCUAAUAGAUGAGCCUAAGUCGGAUUAGCUAGUUGGUGGGGUAAAGGCCUACCAAGGCGACGAUCUGUAGCGGGUCUGAGAGGAUGAUCCGCCACACGGGGACUGAGACACGGCCCAGACUCCUACGGGAGGCAGCAGUGGGGAAUAUUGGACAAUGGGCGCAAGCCUGAUCCAGCCAUGCCGCGUGUGUGAAGAAGGCCUUAUGGUUGUAAAGCACUUUAAGCGAGGAGGAGGCUACUUUAGUUAGUACCUAGAGAUAGUGGACGUUACUCGCAGAAUAAGCACCGGCUAACUCUGUGCCAGCCGCCGCAGUAAUAC